rnacentral:rRNA from 1 species
UACAGAGGGUGCGAGCGUUGUUCGGAAUUACUGGGCGUAAAGCGCGCGCAGGCGGCCUUUUAAGUCUGACGGUGAAAUGCCGGGGCUCAACCCCGUGCCCGCCGGAGAUACUGGGAGGCUGGAGACGAGUAGAGGCAAGCGGAAUUCCGGGUGUAGCGGUGGAAUGCGUAGAGAUCCGGAAGAACACCCGAGGCGAAGGCGGCUUGCUGGGCUCGGUCUGACGCUGAUGCGCGAAAGCGUGGGGAGCGAACAGG